rnacentral:rRNA from 1 species
UACGGAGGGUGCGAGCGUUGUCCGGAAUCACUGGGCGUAAAGGGCGCGUAGGUGGCUCGUGAAGCGUGCGGUGAAAGUCCGAGGCUCAACCUCGGAUCGGCCGUGCGGACUCGCGGGCUCGAGCGUUGUAGAGGCGGGUGGAAUUCCGGGUGUAGCGGUGGAAUGCGUAGAGAUCCGGAAGAACACCGGUGGCGAAGGCGGCCCGCUGGGCAACUGCCGACACUGAUGCGCGACAGCGUGGGGAGCAAACAGG